rnacentral:misc_RNA from 1 species
UGAGCGACGAAAGGGCGCUGUAAAGUGUCGCAUAGAGGGGCGGUGCAUCAGAGGGCGUGCAGGGCGGUAUUUUGUCCGGGUGCGUGCGCUUUUUGUGGGGCCUUCUUCUGUGCUCGCGGAGUGACAGCGGCAAUCACCUCUUCGUAGUCGGCAGCGCAGACGUACAGUACAUCUUCGCAUUCACAGAAAAGUAAGAGGUGGCAAGUGGGUGAUCAUGGAGCGAGUGGCACGCGUGGUACAGCUGCAGAGCACUGCAGGAGCUCUUAGUAUCGAGCUUUAUAACAACUUCUGCGCCGACUCGUUCUGGCAGCUGGCGAGGAGUGGCCAACUGCGCCGGUUAACGUUCCGCCAGCUAUUGGGCGGUUUCGCGCUGCUUGGUGAGGUAGAGACGGUGCAGGGCCACUCGACGACAGCAAGCGAAGUAGAUGCCGCUGCGCGAAGUCCAGAUGGUGUACCAUUACUGCACGUCGGUGCAGGAUUGCUGAGUUGCAGGCCAACCAUCGGCGCUGUGACAGCCAGUCGCCUUCUCAUUACUCUUUCUCCACAGCCGCAGCUCGACAAGACGCACGUCGUCUUUGGCCGUGUCUACUCGGGCAUUCACACGUUGGAGCAGAUAUCUCGCAUGCAGGUGGGCGCGGACUUCGUUCUGUACUCUCCUGUGACGGUCGUGAAGUGCAGCACGGCAGUGCUUGCGAGAGGCACCGCACCGCAAAACGCUACGGCCAAAGUGGCACCGGCGCCGUGUGCCGUCAAGUCGCCAUAUCCUUCGAGCAUUUUGGCAACGCUGGAGUAGUCCCUUCCCCCUCCCCCGCCCCCGCACUUACCCACCGACAAGUCACGGCUGCACACGUCGUCUCUUCGGUCUGUCGCUGAGUGUAUGCCUUUCCACAGCGGGGCCAGCGGCGAUAUAGUGGCGCUGAGCGUUCGCCGAUGGAAGAAAACGUAACAAGGAAAACGAG